rnacentral:rRNA from 1 species
AGCGAACGCUGGCGGCAUGCCUAACACAUGCAAGUCGAACGGAUGCAGCAAUGCAUCAGUGGCAGACGGGUGAGUAACACGUGGGAAUCUACCCAGUAGCCUGGAAUAACCGCGGGAAACUGCGGCUAAUACCGGAUACGCCCCUCGGGGGAAAGGAGCAAUCCACUAUUGGAGGAGCCCGCGUCCGAUUAGCUAGUUGGUGAGGUAACGGCUCACCAAGGCGAUGAUCGGUAGCUGGUUUGAGAGAACGACCAGCCACACUGGGACUGAGACACGGCCCAGACUCCUACGGGAGGCAGCAGCGGGGAAUAUUGGACAAUGGGGGAAACCCUGAUCCAGCAAUGCCGCGUGGGUGAUGAAGGCCUUCGGGUUGUAAAGCCCUUUUGGCGGGGACGAUGAUGACGGUACCCGCAGAAGAAGCCCCGGCUAACUUCGUGCCAGCAGCCGCCGUAA